CUGGGUGAUGACUCCAAGGCGAAUGCGACCUCCGUGCCUUCUGACUCCUGGCUCCCACGGAGGGAGGGGGGACGGAUAGAGGGAUUACAACGAACGGGGGUCUGGAAUCUUGGUAGGGGUGCCAGAGGCAUGGACCCCUGCUGUAAAGCCAGAUCAACAGAAUUGCUCAGGCCCUUGGCUCCUGGUGGCUGCCUCUAGCCCCUGGCAGCUCUGCUGAGCAGGGGCCCACAAGUGGGGUCAGGGCGAAAGCAGAGGCACUGGCUGCGUCUGAGCGCAAACCCCUAGAUCUGACA
rnacentral:snoRNA from 1 species